rnacentral:rRNA from 1 species
CGCGACCUCAGGUCAGGCGGGAUUACCCGCUAAGUUUAAGCAUAUCAAUAAGUGGAGGAAAAGAAACUUACUAGGAUUCCCCUAGUAACGGCGANNAACUGAGAAAAACUCAGCUUGAGGAUCAGGUACCAUCGGUGUUUGAAUUAUAGUUUGAAGAAGCAUUCUCAGCGACGGACUAGGCUCAAUUCCAUUGGAAAUGGGCGUCGAAGAGGGUGAGAGCCCCGUCGUGCUCGGACCCUGACGCACCACAAGAUGCUGUCUACAAGUCGGGUUAUUUGGGAAUGCAUCCCUAAUCGGGCGGUAAAUUUCGUCCAAGGCUAGAUACAGGCAAGAGACUGAUAGCGAACAAGUAUUGUAAGGGAAUGAUGAAAAGGACUUUGAAAAGAGAGUCAAAGAGUGCUUGAAAUUAUCGGGAGGGACGCGGAUGGGGGUCGUCAAUAUGCCUCGAACGGGUGUGGAAUGGUGAGAGUCACUCUAUCGAUCGACUAAAGACAUGGAUCGAUGCGGGUUGUGCUGGCAACGCAAGCUAAGGCUCUUGGUACGCCUGUAGAGACGUCAUCGCCUUGAUCGUGAGAUCCAGCAUGCGUCGUCUCGAUGUGCUUAUGUACUUGCAUGCUCCUGGCAUCAGCCUAUGGGCUCCCCAUUCGGCUUGUCUUGAAACAUGAACUAAGGAGUUUGACAUGUGUAUGUGUCAACGGGCUAAAAAACCCGGAAGGCGUAAGAAAGCUGAUUGGCGAGAUCCCUUGCAGGUGCAUCGUCGACCGACCUUGUUCUUCUAAGAAGGGUUCGAGUGAGAGCAUGCCUGUCGGGACCUGAAAGAUGGUGAACUAUCACUGAAUGGGGCGAAGCUAGUGGAAACUUUGGUGUGGGCCUGCAGUGAUACUGACGUGCAAAUCGUUCAUCUGACUUGGGUAUAGGGCGAAAGACUAAUCGAACCGUUUAGUAACUGGUUCCCUCCGAAGUUUCCCUCAGGAUAGCUAGAGCCCUUAGCGAGUUCUAUAGGGUAAAGCCACUGAUUAGAGGUGUCGGGGGCGUAACACCCACGACCUAUUCUCAAACUUUAAAUAGGUAGGACAACAUGGCUACUUCGUUGAGCCCUGCCACGGAACCAAGAGCUAUAAGUGGGCCAUUUUUGGUAAGUAAAAUUGGCGAUGCAAGAUGAAUCGGAAGUCGAGUUACGGUGCCUAACUACGUGCUAACCUAGAACUCACAAAGGGUGUUGGUCGAUUAAGACAGUAGGACGGUGGUCAAGAAAGUCGAAAUCCGCUAAAGAGUGUGUAACAACUCACUUCCCGAAUCAACUAGCCACGAAAUUGGAUGACGCUUAAGCGUGCGACCUAUACCCGAUCAUUGGGCAAGGGUAAGGCCUCGAUGAGUAGGAGGGCAUAGCGAUCAUCGUAAAACCCGAGGAACGAGCCCGAGCAAAGCGGGCGACGGUGCUGAUCUUGGUGGUAGUAGCAAAUAUUCAAAUGAGAACUUUGAAGGCCAAAGAGAGGAAAGGUUCCAUGUGAAUGGCACUUGCACAAGGGUUGGUCGAUCCUAAGAGACGGGGGAAGCUCGUUCGAUAGCACAUUCAAUGCGAGCUUCGAAAGGGAAUCGGGUUAAAAUUCCUAAACCAAGACGCGGUGACUGACGACAACUUUAGGGAGUUCGAAGACAUCGACGAAGCCCCGGGAAGAGUUAUCUUUUCUGUUUAACGGCCUGUCCACCCUAGAAAUGGCUCAGCCAGAGGUAAGGUCCAGCAGCUGGAAGAGCAUCGUACAUCGCUUGGUGUCCGAUACACCUCCGACGACCCUUGAAAAUCCAAAGGAUCGAGUGCUGUCCGUGAUCGGUUAUACUCAUAACCGCAUCAGGUUUCCAAGGUGAACAACCUUUGGUCAAUGGAACAAUGUAAGAAAGGGAAGUCGGUAAAAUGGAUCCGUAACCUUGGGAAAAAGAUUGGCUUUGAGGGUUGGGCACGGGGGUCCCAGUCCCAAACCCGUUGGCUAUCAGUUCACUGCUCGAGCUACUCCUACAACGAGAGCAAGUCGUUGCGUGUCGGCCGGAGAAUGGACUAGGAACGACUCCCUCGGGGGCCUUCCCUACGUGAUAGACAAUUUAAUCAGAACUGGUAUGGAGAAGGGGAAUUAGACUGUUUAAUUAAAACAAAGCAUUUCGAUGGUCCCUGCAGAUGCUCACGCAAUGUGAUUCUUCCCAGUGCUCUAAAUGUCAAAGUGAAGAAAUUCAACCAAGCGCGGGUAAAUGACAGGUGUAACUAUGACUCUCUUAAGGUAGCCAAAUGCCUCGUCAUCUGAUUAGUGACGCGCAUGAAUAGAUUAACGAGAUUCCUAUUAUCCCUAUCUACUAUCCAGCGAAACCACAGCCAAGGGAACGAGCUGGGCAGAAUCAGUAGGGAAGGAAGACCUUGUUAAGCUUGACUCUUAUCCAAAUUUGUGAAAUGACUUGAGAGGUGUAGGAUAAGUGGGAGCUCUCGGGCGAAAUUGAAAUACCAUUACUUUAAAUGUUAUUUUACUUAUUCCGUGAAUCGGAGGUAGGGCAUGACCGCUUUUUUUGGACCCAAGGUCAGCUUCGGCCGAUCGAUACGGGCGUAAGACAUUGUCAGGUGAGGAGUUUGGCUAGGGUGGCACAUCUGUUAAAAGAUAACGCAAGUGUCCUAAGAUGAGCUAAACGAGAACAUAAAUCUCAUAUGGAACAAAAUGAUAAAAGCUCGUUUGAUUCUGAUUUCCAGUACGAAUACGAACUGUGAAAGCAUGGCCCUUUUAUCCUUUAAACCUUCAGAAUUUGAAGCUAGAGGUGUCAGAAAAGUUACCACAGCGAUAACUGGCUUCUAGCAGCCAAGCAUUCAUAGCGAUGUUACUUUUUGAUCCUUCGAUGUCGGCUCUUCCUAUCAUUAUGAAGUGGAAUUCACCAAGUGUUGGAUUGUUCACCCACUAAUAGGGUACAUGAGUUGGGUUUAGACUAUCGUUAAACAAAUUAGUUUUACCUACUGAUGGAAGCAUCGUAAUAGUAAUUCAACCUAGUACAAGAGGAACCGUUGAUUCACACAAUUGGUUAUCGCGCUUGUUUGAAAACACAGUGGCGCGAAGCUACCGUGUGCUGGAUUAUGACUGAAUGCCUCCUUGGAGCGUAAUUCCCACUGUGCGACAAGUAGAAUCCUUUGUAGAUGACUUAAAUAUGCGAUGGGGUAAUGGAAGUGGCAGAGUGGCCUUACUGCCACGAUCCACUGAGAUUCAGCCCUUUGUCGCUUCGAUUCAUCCCUCCUCGAUCCAAUAUCGUCUCCUCUUUUUGCA